rnacentral:rRNA from 1 species
AUGGGGAUGUCAUUUCUUCAAAUUUCAAGGUCCUCUGCGAUUAGGUCAAGUCCAGUGCAUGCCAAUGCUCCUCGAGAGCUCACAAUGCAUGAUUUGGUGCACGAUCUUGCAACGAUAAUUUUGGGUCAUGAAUCUAUUGUUCUAAAUGCUACUGAUCCGAGGACUAGGAAGAAAGCAAAACAUCGUUAUUGCCGACAUGCACAGUUGAUCAACUACCAGAAUCAGUAUAAGGUUUUCAAUUAUCUGCCAGGCAACAUCAGAUCCUUCCAUGUAAGACAUUCAGAGAAACAGCAGCUUCCCCAAAAGGCAUUUUCCAGAACCAAGUACAUACGGGUCUUGGACAUAAGUGGAUGUUUAGUUGUGGGGCAAUCUACUCCAAGCAACAUACUUUUGCCAUGUUCCGUGCUUCAGUUGAAGCUACUUAGGUACCUUGAUGCCUCUAGCCUGCCAAUCACAUCACUUCCUGAGUCUUUCCAUUCACUUCAAAAUAUGGGAACUCUAAUUCUGUCCAAUUGCUCACUUGCAACCUUGCCUGACAGUAUCUGUAGCCUCAACAAACUCUGCUAUUUGGACCUAGCUGGCAAUGCGAGCCUCAGUAAGCUCCCUGACAAUUUUCAUCUUCUUAACAAACUCAUGUUCCUAAACAUGUCUAGUUGUUCCAAGCUAACCGAACUUCCUGACAAUUUUAGCCUGGAGUGUUUAGAACAUUUAAACCUAUUAGGUUGUCAUGAGAUAAAAAAUCUACCACAAGAUUUCGGCAAUCUUGAAAAUCUUAGGUUCUUGAACCUUUCUGAUUGCUACAAGAUUUCAGUUCUACCAGAAUCAUUUUGCCAACUGAAGCAUUUGAAAGACCUAAACCUUUCAGAUUGCCGUGCCCUUAUAGUACUCCCUGAGUGUUUUGGCGACCUUUCAGAACUUGAAUCUUUGAACGUAACAAGUUGUCCCAGGCUAGCACGGUUGCCUGAGUCAGUCUGCAAGAUGACUAAUCUGAAGUGUCUCAAUUUGUCAUAUUGCUUAGGGAUGCUAGAGCUCCCCUUGUCACUAGGUGAUCUUAAUCUCCAAAUAUUGGACAUUUCUGCUGGUGCUCUCGGUCACUUGCCAGAUAGCAUCAGUAAAAUGGCUAGUCUCACCCAAUUUGUGGUCACGUCAGGACAUCCUAGGGUAUUUGGAGAAGCCCAGGAAAUUAAGAAGAGUCUAAAUUUACCAGGCCGCACAGUACACAGAGUACGCAACACAGGAAGAUACAACAGUAUUGUUGAGCUUGGACAUGUGAAUUGCCCUGAGCUGUUAAUUCGAUCGCUUCAGCGUGUCAAGAGACCGGAAGAUGCAGAGACAAUCAAGCUGCGUGAUAAAUCAUGUCUUAGACAGCUAGCUCUCCAUUGGAAUCAGAAGAAUAUGAAUGCUGAUGCAUCCUCGGCUGAAUCUAUUUUGGAGAGGCUCAUACCAGCUCGAAAUCUUGAACAGUUUAUGAUACAAGGCUAUAUGAGCAAGGGUUUCCCUAACUGGAUGUCGCACAUAUCCUCCCACCUCCCUUCUGUUACCUAUCUGAGUCUUUUUGAUUUAGGUGCAUGUGAUAAUCUUCCUCCAUUUGGGCAGCUACCAAAUUUAAGAAGUCUAUAUCUGCAGAAAAUUCCCAACGUCACGAAAAUUGGCAAGGAAUUCUAUGGAGAGGGUGGAACUUGUACGAAAUUAAGAUUGCUACAGUUGAAGUCGAUGGACAAUUUGGUGGAAUGGUGGACAACACAGACAGGCGAAGAAGAUGGAGAAUUUUUAAUCCCUAAUUUGCAUAAUCUAGAGUUGAAGGACUGCCCAAAGUUGAAGUUCCUACCAUAUCCCCCCAGAAGUAUGUUUUGGAUCUUGGACAAUAGCAACGAGGCUUUGGCAGGACCAAGACUUGGAUUUUGGGAACUCUCGUCUUCCACUCUUCCUUGUCGCAUGGGUAUAAAAAAUUGCAUCUUUCGUUCUUCCGAGUGGUGCAUACUACAGCAAUUCCCCGCUCUCGAAGAAUUCUCAUUGACCUCCUGCCGCGGCUUGAGGGCCUUGCCAGAGGCCAUUAGCUGCUUCACCUCUCUCAAAAAACUAAGUUUGAUGUCGUUGGAGGACCUUGAGAUGCUGCCGGAUUGGUUGGGAUAUCUCCCUUCUCUACAAGUCUUGGGCAUAAAAGAUUGUCGCAAUUUAAGAAUAUUGCCUGCAAGUAUGGGAAAUCUCACUGCUCUGAGAGUACUAAUGCUUCUCGAGUGCGAAGGACUAUAUAGAUUGCCGGAAUGGCUAGGACAGUUCAGUUCCCUGCGAGAACUUCACAUCAGAGACUGUUCCAACAUCACAUUUUUGCCUGAAAGCAUAAGAAACCUUACUGCCCUGGAGGAAUUGUACAUUUCUGGAUGUUCAAGUCUGGUCCAUAGGUCCCGAAGGGAGGAUGCAUGUAAGGUUUCUCACAUCCGUAAAGUAAUAUUAGAGCCAGAGGAAGAACCAAAUGAAGAAGGACAAGAAGAAUUAUUAGCGCAAGAAGAAGGAUUAGAGUAUGCACAGGAAUCAUGUAUGGAUAGCCUAUGGAGAGAAUUAAGUGAAAGAUGGUCAAGACAUAGAGAGGACCGAGAAGAACUAGAGAUGUCGGACUCAGACUCUGAACAUCUCUAUCGUUUUGGGCAAGAAGAUUCAGAAAAUGAGGAUGACGAGCAAGAAUAUUGGGCAAACGAGGAUGACAAGCAAGAAGAUUGGUACCUAUAA